UACGUAGGGCGCAAGCGUUGUCCGGAAUUAUUGGGCGUAAAGAGCUCGUAGGCGGUUUGUCGCGUCUGCUGUGAAAUCUAGCCGCUUAACGGUUAGCGUGCAGUGGGUACGGGCAGACUAGAGUGUGGUAGGGGAGACUGGAAUUCCUGGUGUAGCGGUGAAAUGCGUAGAUAUUUGGAGGAACACCAGUGGCGAAGGCGACUCUUUGGUCUAUUACUGACGCUGAGGUACGAAAGCAUGGGUAGCAAACAGGAUUAGAUACCCCGGUAGUCCCU
rnacentral:rRNA from 1 species